GAUGAACGCUGACAGAAUGCUUAACACAUCAGCAAUUGAUUGGUGGCGGACGGGUGAGUAACGCAUAAAGCACUUGCCUCACAGGUAGGGACAACAUUUCGACACGAUUGCUAAUACCUAAGGCUGUAAGAGAGCUUUGCGUCCCAUUAGCUAGUUGGAGAGGUAACGGCCCACCAAGGCGAUGAUGGGUAGGCGGCCUGAGAGGGUGAUCGGGCACAAGGCGAAGGAGAUACGGCCAUCACCCCCUAGGGAGGAAGGAGUAGCGAAUAGACGCCAACGGAGCAAGGUGCGAUUGAGGGAUUCUGUGCAAACGACGAAGGAAUAGGAAUGUAAAGUGCAUUGCGUUGGGAAACGGCACCAAUAGAAGAAGACCCGGGUAAACUCCUGCCAGCAGCCGCGGUAAUAC
rnacentral:rRNA from 1 species